UGAGGGAUAUUGGGCAAUGGGCGCAAGCCUGACCCAGCGACGCCGCGUGGAGGACGAAGCGCUUCGGCGCGUAAACUCCUUUUCCCAGGGACGAGAGACAGGACGGUACCUGGGGAAUAAGUCUCGGCUAACUACGUGCCAGCAGCCGCGGUAAAACGUAGGAGGCAAGAGUUAUCCGGAAUUACUGGGCGUAAAGGGCGUCUAGGCGGAUGGGCAAGCGGGAUGUGAAAGCUCCUGGCUCAACUGGGAGAGUGCGUUCCGAACUGCGUGACUAGAGGCCAGGCGAUGGGGGUGGAAUUCCCGGUGGAGUGGUGAAAUGCGUAGAGAUCGGGAGGAACACCAGUGGCGCAAGCGGCCCCCAAGCCUGAGCCUGACGCUGAAGCGCGACAGCGUGGGGAGCAAACGG
rnacentral:rRNA from 1 species